rnacentral:tRNA from 1 species
CAUGAAGAAGUUAAUAAAAUAUCAAACUUUGAAUUUGAAGAUAGUAAAUUUA